GACGAACGCUGGCGGCGCGCCUAACACAUGCAAGUCGAACGAGCGAGAGAGAGCUUGCUUUCUUGAGCGAGUGGCGAACGGGUGAGUAACGCGUGAGGAACCUGCCUCAAAGAGGGGGACAACAGUUGGAAACGACUGCUAAUACCGCAUAAGCCCACGGUGCCGCAUGGCACAGAGGGAAAAGGAGCAAUCCGCUUUGAGAUGGCCUCGCGUCCGAUUAGCUAGUUGGUGAGGUAACGGCCCACCAAGGCGACGAUCGGUAGCCGGACUGAGAGGUUGAACGGCCACAUUGGGACUGAGACACGGCCCAGACUCCUACGGGAGGCAGCAGUGGGGAAUAUUGCACAAUGGGGGAAACCCUGAUGCAGCGCCGCCGCGUGGAGGAAGAAGGUCUUCGGAUUGUAAACUCCUGUUGUUGGGGAAGAUAAUGACGGUACCCAACAAGGAAGUGACGGCUAACUACGUG
rnacentral:rRNA from 1 species